rnacentral:lncRNA from 1 species
AUCAUCAUUAUUGCUGUCAUCAAUUGCCUGUGAGGGGCAUUGGCCUGAGGCUGUUUCCUACUCUCUCCUUGAGCCUUUAUGGAUAUAUUUUGGAUAAAUGGACCUAGACCAACAUGGCAAAAGUCUGAACACAGAGGCUAAGUUUUUCACUCAGGAACCAGCUCCAGGGUUCCUUCGUUCUUCCUGAAAGUCUUGGACCCUCAGCAUCCUUCCCUAGACUACUCUGUGGCCUAGAUUCUGGGCUGCUUUGUGUGGGAAAGCUGGUGGCAGAUCAUGGAAAGACGGCCCAUCAUAGAACCAAACACACGUGAUCACAGGCAUGACGCAAAACAAUGAAGCUUGGUACCUUCCUCUCGCCACAGGAUGUUUGCAACUGCAGCAGCAGAGAAUGAGGAAAGCAGGAGUGUGAUGGAGUCAAGGAAAAAGAAGAAAGCAGUGUUAAACCGUCACUGCAGUGAUUCCAUUUAUGAAGAUCCUGGUACCUAGUCCAUCACUUACAGAAUCUAUACCACUCAUUGCCCUAGGAACAGUAUCUUGGGGGAAGCUCUGGACAUGAACAAAUGCUUUCAGGUCUCCAGACCCUUUGAUUCUUAAGUGAAUCUUUGAAAUCAUGCCCUAGGACCACAGAAGCUAAUGGAAUUUCUCACAUUUCAUGGAUGAUCAAGAGUAAGCAACAUCUCUCCCAGAUUUCCUGGACAACCAGCAGGAGAAGUGACUUUCAACUAGGAUUCUCCUAAGAUGACCACGUGAAAUACUUCUGAUUAUCUACUUUGAUGAAAAUGGCUUAGCCUGGAGUCUUUGACCAUGAUUAACACCCAUGUCUAUGAAAUCACACCUGCAGGCCUACCUGGGGAGCAGUGGUUAUGAGGAGAGCACGCUUAGCACACCGAUGGGCUGGACCCCUAGUGUAAAGGCUACCACACUCCCAAUGGUGUGCAUGUGUGCACAGGUCAGGUUCUGGGCCACUGUGGGACAUCACGUGGAUGAAGGGCAGAGGUUCAGGGCAUACAGCAAGUAAAAAGCAGAGCUGGGACUCGACUAUUUGGGUUUCCUUGUGUUCCUGGGCUCUGUCUGCUGUCCAGGGAAUCUCCCUGUCUGUUUCCAGAGUUGUCUAGGUUGCCAGGGAAGGCCUGCUCACCUCUGGGUGCCCUCCAAUUCCAGCUUUAUGCAAAGAGGGAUAUGAGGCUUACCCCUGUCUUCACGGGCUCAUGGUUGGCAGCUGUGGCCCUGGUCAAUUGGUGCCCUCCCUUGCCACCCAACACCUCCCAGCCAGCUCAGUGAGAAGCAUAAACGCGUGUCGACUUACGGGUCUUUCUAGCUGAGUCUUCAAUGAAGAGCGAGGAGAUAUCUUCAUCCACACCCACUUCAUUUUUGGCAAUGCAGGUGUAUGCCCCUGUGUCUUCAUACCGAACACUGCUGAUGUGGAGUUCGCUCCCAUUGGCUGCAGACAGGACAGUGCUCAGGGUGGACUGCUCAGCUGGAGACCCACUCACUUUCCUUUAUGGGGCCAUUGAGAGUGUUAGGGCUGCCCAGCCCCUGGGCAGCCAGCAGCCCUGAUUAUACGCCCAGGAAGGGCUGGCACAUCUGAAAUGCACUGAGGGUGAGCUGGACCUGAGUGACAGCUUCUCAUCAUUGCUGUCAGAAAGCCCCAAAAGAUCUGUGUGAGCCCAGAUAACAGGGAAAUUUGGGAGCCAUCUGUUCACUCCUAACCUGUCUGACUUAUAAACAAAUUAUACCUCUCGUUUCCAUUCCUGGAGUCUCAGCUUGAUUUGAAUGGGAAUAUCGCAUAGACGUCUACCAAGGGCAGUUCUUACCUAAAAGGGAGAGCUGUUUGGACAUCUGAGUUGAGACAUCCACGCCGUUUUUCAGCCAAGUGAUUCUGGGCAUGGGAAUGCCCUCAGCAUGGCAUCUUAGGCUGGCUGCCACUCCAGGCUCCUGUGCCUGGCUCUCUGGAUAGACACGGAUGACUGGCGGCACUGUGGGUGAGAGUCAGUGCUGGUGAGAAAGAGACGGCCCUGACCUGGACUUGGGCCUGUGGCCCAACCUGAGACCCUGCUCCAGAGGGGGUGAACCCAAGUAGGUGACUGGAGUUCUGUGUUUAACCAAAUUAUAAUAAUCCUGUCCAGCAACGCAAGCUCUAAAAGAAAGGGCUAUAAAAUAGAUUGCAGAUAAUAAACAUGUCAGACUUUGUA